GUGCCAGCAGCCGCGGUAAGACAGAGGGUGCAAACGUUGUUCGGAAUUACUGGGCGUAAAGCGCGUGUAGGCGGCUCGGAAAGUCGGGUGUGAAAGCCCUGGGCUCAACCCAGGAAGUGCACUCGAAACUUCCAAGCUUGAGUUUUGGAGAGGAAGGCGGAAUUCUCGGUGUAGAGGUGAAAUUCGUAGAUAUCGAGAGGAACACCGGUGGCGAAGGCGGCCUUCUGGACAGUGACUGACGCUGAGACGCGAAAGCGUGGGGAGCAAACAGGAUUAGAAACCCCCGUAGUCC
rnacentral:rRNA from 1 species